GGGUCCGGACACACUGAGGAUUGACAGGCAAUUAUUGUGCUUUGUAACUUUUUUUUAAGUUGCUUACACAACAACAAAUUAUGCUAGUCCUUUCAUGAUUAUGUGAUAGGUGGUGCAUGGCCGUUCUUAGUUAGUGGAGUGAUCUGUCUGCUUAAUUGCGUUUCAUCAGGGACCAUGUUUAUUUAUGUACUUUCUUACUCGCUUUUUAAGCACUUUUUGUGUUUUUUAAGCUUGUACUUUAGUGCAAUUGGUCCUGAGAGCAACGAAUGUGACCGCAUCCUCUUGUUGCCUUUUUAACUUGAGUUGUUUACACUUCUCAUAACAUAAGAGGCUUUCCUAAAACUAGAGGGACCGCUGCGACUUUUUUAAACCAGAGGAAGGUUGCGGCAAUAACAGGUCUGUGAUGCCCUUAGAUGUUCCGGGCUGCACACGUGCUACAAUGAUUAUUGCAGUGAGCAUCUCAUUUUAUUUUUUGUGCUUGUCUUGUCUGACUCUUUUACGAGGGAAAGACGACAGCCUUAGCCUGCUUCGAAAGUUCGCAGGU
rnacentral:rRNA from 1 species